rnacentral:rRNA from 1 species
GUGAGGAAUAUUGGACAAUGGGCGCAAGCCUGAUCCAGCCAUGCCGCGUGCAGGAAGACGCAUCUAUGGUGUGUAAACUGCUUUUGUACGGGAAGAAACACUCCCUCGUGAGGGAGCUUGACGGUACCGUAAGAAUAAGGAUCGGCUAACUCCGUGCCAGCAGCCGCGGUAAUACGGAGGAUCCAAGCGUUAUCCGGAAUCAUUGGGUUUAAAAGGUCCGUAGGCGGUUUAAUAAGUCAGUGGUGAAAGCCCAUCGCUCAACGAUGGAACGGCCAUUGAUACUGUUAGACUUGAAUUACAAGGAAGUAACUAGAAUAUGUAGUGUAGCGGUGAAAUGCUUAGAUAUUACAUGGAAUACCAAUUGCGAAGGCAGGUUACUACUUGUGGAUUGACGCUGAUGGACGAAAGCGUGGGGAGCGAACAGGAUUAGAAACCCGGGUAGUCC